GGGACGGGUGAGUAACACGUGGAUAACCUACCUAUAAGACUGGGAUAACUUCGGGAAACCGGAGCUAAUACCGGAUAAUAUUUUGAACCGCAUGGUUCAAAAGUGAAAGACGGUCUUGCUGUCACUUAUAGAUGGAUUCGCGCUGCAUUAGCUAGUUGGUAAGGUAACGGCUUACCAAGGCAACGAUGCAUAGCCGACCUGAGAGGGUGAUCGGCCACACUGGAACUGAGACACGGUCCAG
rnacentral:rRNA from 1 species